rnacentral:rRNA from 1 species
UACGGAGGGUGCGAGCGUUGUCCGGAAUCACUGGGCGUAAAGGGCGCGUAGGCGGUGCGAGAAGCGUGUGGUGAAAGGCCGGGGCUCAACCCCGGCUCGGCCGUGCGGACUCUCGCGCUUGGUGAGUGCUGUAGAGGCGGGCGGAAUUCCGGUGUAGCGGUGGAAUGCGUAGAGAUCCGGAAGAACACCGGUGGCGAAGGCGGUUCUCUGGGC